rnacentral:rRNA from 1 species
GACGAACGCUAGCGGCAGGCCUAAUACAUGCAAGUCGAACGGUAAGGUCUCUUCGGAGAUACACGAGUGGCGCACGGGUGCGUAACGCGUAUGUAACCUACCCUUCAGAGGGGGAUAGCCAGUGGAAACGCUGAAUAAUACCCCAUGUUAUUAUUGGUUGGCAUCAACCGAUAAUCAAAGCUCCGGCGCUGAAGGAUGGGCAUGCGUCCCAUUAGUUAGUUGGUGAGGUAACGGCUCACCAAGACCUCGAUGGGUAGCUGGUCUGAGAGGAUGAUCAGCCACACGGGCACUGAGACACGGGCCCGACUUCUACGGAAGGCAGCAGUAAGGAAUAUUGGUCAAUGGGGGCAACCCUGAACCAGCCAUGCCGCGUGGAGGAAGACGGCCCUCUGGGUUGUAAACUUCUUUUAUGUAGGGAUAAUUGUGUGCUAUACGCACGCUUGUAGGUACUACAUGAAUAAGCACCGGCUAACUACG